rnacentral:rRNA from 1 species
UUUAAGGAGUUAAUGGCUGCAUAAAUCUGAGUGUAMUAAGGUAGCGCUACAAUUUGCCCUUUAAAUGGGGGCUGGUAUGAAUGGGUUCACGUGAGAGUUGCUGUGUCACAAAAAUUUUUUGAAAUUAACUUUUAGGUGAAGAGGCCUAGCUAAGUUUAAAGGACGACAAGACCCUAGAAGCUUUACUGAUGGUAAAUUACAGCGUAAAUCACUUCAGUUUUGUUGGGGCAACAUAGUUAGAAAGUAUAGCUUGUUAAUUGUAAACCUACAAGUUAAAACCACAUUAGUGAAUAAGAUAAGCUACUCUAGGGAUAACAGCGUUAUUUUUUUUAAUAGUACGUAUUGUAAAAAAAGUUUGCGACCUCGAUGUUGGAUUAAGGUGUCCUUAAGGCGCAGAAGUUUUAGAGGGUUGGCCUGUUCGUCCAUUAAAACCUUACA